CCAUCAUGUCAGGAUGCUGUAUGUACAGUCUGUCAGUAACAGUAGGGUUAGGUUCAGUCUACUCCAUCAUGUCAGGAUGCUGUAUGUACAGUCUGUCAGUAACAGUAGGGUUAGGUUCAGUCUACUCCAUCAUGUCAGGAUGCUGUAUGUACAGUCUGUCAGUAACAGUAGGGUUAGGUUCAGUCUACUCCGUCAUGUCAGGAUGCUGUAUGUACAGUCUGUCAGUAACAGUAGGGUUAGGUUCAGUCUACUCCGUCAUGUCAGGAUGCUGUAUGUACAGUCUGUCAGUAACAGUAGGGUUAGGUUCAGUCUACUCCGUCAUGUCAGGAUGCUGUAUGUACAGUCUGUCAGUAACAGUAGGGUUAGGUUCAGUCUACUCCGUCAUGUCAGGAUGCUGUAUGUACAGUCUGUCAGUAACAGUAGGGUUAGGUUCAGUCUACUCCAUCAUGUCAGGAUGCAGUAUGUACAGUCUGUCAGUAACAGUAGGGUUAGGUUCAGUCUACUCCAUCAUGUCAGGAUGCUGUAUGUACAGUCUGUCAGUAACAGUAGGGUUAGGUUCAGUCUACUCCGUCAUGUCAGGAUGCUGUAUGUACAGUCUGUCAGUAACAGUAGGGUUAGGUUCAGUCUACUCCGUCAUGUCAGGAUGCUGUAUGUACAGUCUGUCAGUAACAGUAGGGUUAGGUUCAGUCUACUCCAUCAUGUCAGGAUGCAGUAUGUACAGUCUGUCAGUAACAGUAGGGUUAGGUUCAGUCUACUCCGUCAUGUCAGGAUGCUG